rnacentral:ncRNA from 1 species
CCAAAUGCAGUGAAGGGGAGAAAGCAGCACUCAUCCCAUUUCAGAGAGCCGCCGGACGGUGCAAGGCGGUAUGGUAGGCGCUGUAUACUGGCCCCGGAGCAGCCGCGCUGACAGGUAGGCGCGGACGGAACCUGACCGUUAUCAUGCAGGCGCGAUUCGCCCACGGGCUGAUCGUACAGAGCGGCUGUUUUACAGCAAUGAGAGUGGUACCGCGGGUACAGCAACGUUGAUCUUGCUCCCGUCUCUCAA